rnacentral:rRNA from 1 species
GUGGGGAAUUUUGGACAAUGGGCGCAAGCCUGAUCCAGCAAUGCCGCGUGCAGGAAGAAGGCCUUCGGGUUGUAAACUGCUUUUGUACGGAACGAAACGGUCCGGGUUAAUACCCUGGGCUAAUGACGGUACCGUAAGAAUAAGCACCGGCUAACUACGUGCCAGCAGCCGCGGUAAUACGUAGGGUGCAAGCGUUAAUCGGAAUUACUGGGCGUAAAGCGUGCGCAGGCGGUUUUGUAAGACAGGCGUGAAAUCCCCGGGCUCAACCUGGGAAUUGCGCUUGUGACUGCAAGGGUGGAGUGCGGCAGAGGGGGAUGGAAUUCCGCGUGUAGCAGUGAAAUGCGUAGAUAUGCGGAGGAACACCGAUGGCGAAGGCAAUCCCCUGGGCCUGCACUGACGCUCAUGCACGAAAGCGUGGGGAGCAAACAGGAUUAGAUACCCUGGUAGUCC